UGAGCUCGGCAGUCCCAGCUUUUGGUUGCUGCGUCCUUGGCUGGCGUCAGAAAAAUGGCUACAAACUUUCUAGUGCAUGAGAAGAUCUGGUUUGACAAGCUUAAAUAUGAUGAUGCAGAAAGGAGAUUCUACGAGCAGAUGAAUGGGCCUGUGACCUCUGGCUCCCGCCAGAGCUCAGGCCCUGGAGCCUCCAGUGGGCCUGGUGGAGACCACAGUGAGCUCAUUGUGAGGAUUACCAGUCUGGAAGUGGAGAACCAGAACCUUCGAGGCGUGGUGCAAGAUUUGCAGCAGGCCAUUUCCAGGUUGGAGGCCCGGCUGAGCUCUCUGGAGAAGAGUUCACCUACUCCCGGAGCCACGGCCCCACAGACCCAACAUGUCUCUCCUAUGCAGCAAGUGGAGCCCCCAACCAAGAAGGGAGCCACACCAGCAGAGGACGAUGAGGACAAUGACAUUGACCUGUUCAGCAGUGACGAGGAAGAGGAAGAUAAGGAGGCUGCCCGACUACGGGAGGAGAGGCCACGCCAGUACACAGAGAAGAAGGCCAAGAAGCCCACACUGGUGGCCAAAUCCUCCAUCCUUUUGGAUGUUAAACCUUGGGAUGACGAGACUGGCAUGGCCCAGCUAGAGACUUGUGUGCGUUCCAUCCAAUUGGACGGGCUAGUUUGGGGAGCCUCCAAGCUCGUGCCUGUUGGCUAUGGUAUCCGGAAGCUGCAGAUUCAGUAUGUGGCGGAGGAUGGCAAAGUGGGCACCGACUUGCUAGAGGAGGAGAUCACCAAGUUUGAGGAGCAUGUGCAGUGUCGACAUCACAGAUUUCAACAAGAUCUGAACGUCCGAGAGUGCGUGGUUUCAUGUGUGUGAGGACCUGCUUAGAUUAAAGACUGAGAC